rnacentral:pre_miRNA from 1 species
UUAGGGUUUCUCCAUUUUUUUCUGGAAUUUUUCUGUGAUCUUUGUUAUUGAAGGUUGAUGGAGAUGAUAUGAAUAUGAAAAAGAGAAGAAA